rnacentral:rRNA from 1 species
AUUGAACGCUGGCGGCAGGCCUAACACAUGCAAGUCGAACGAGUGGCGGACGGGUGAGUAAUGUCUGGGAAACUGCCUGAUGGAGGGGGAUAACUACUGGAAACGGUAGCUAAUACCGCAUACCAUCGGGUGUGCCCAGCUGGGAUUAGCUAGUAGGUGGGGUAAAGGCUCACCUAGGCGACGAUCCCUAGCUGGUCUGAGAGGAUGACCAGCCACACUGGAACUGAGACACGGCCCAGACGCCGACGGGAGGCAGCAGUGGGGAAUCUUGCACAAUGGGCGAAAGCCUGAUGCAGCAAUGCCGCGUGUGUGAAGAAGGCCUUCGGGUUGUAAAGUUCUGUCCGCGGGGAGGCGUUACCCGCAGAAGAAGCACCGGCUAACUCCGUGCCAGCAGCCGCGGUAAUUC